rnacentral:rRNA from 1 species
CAUUACGGUCAUAAAACCUGAAACGUGCCUGAUCUCAUCCGAUCUCGGAAGAUUAAGAGCUGGGGAAGACUUAUUUACCACAGACAGAAAGCAGAACUGUCAAGG